ACUCCUACGCGGAGGCAGCAGUGGGGAAUAUUGCACAAUGGGCGAAAGCCUGAUGCAGCAACGCCGCGUGAGGGACGAAGGCCUUCGGGUUGUAAACCUCUUUUAGUAGGGAAGAAGCGAAAGUGACGGUACCUGCAGAAAAAGCACCGGCUAACUACGUGCCAGCAGCCGCGGUAAUACGUAGGGUGCAAGCGUUGUCCGGAAUUAUUGGGCGUAAAGAGCUCGUAGGCGGUUUGUCGCGUCUGCUGUGAAAACCCGAGGCUCAACCUCGGGCCUGCAGUGGGUACGGGCAGACUAGAGUGCGGUAGGGGAGAUUGGAAUUCCUGGUGUAGCGGUGGAAUGCGCAGAUAUCAGGAGGAACACCAAUGGCGAAGGCAGAUCUCUGGGCCGUAACUGACGCUGAGGAGCGAAAGCAUGGGGAGCGAACAGGAUUAGAUACCCUGGUAGUCCAUGCCGUAAACGUUGGGAACUAGAUGUGGGGACCAUUCCACGGUCUCCGUGUC
rnacentral:rRNA from 1 species